rnacentral:rRNA from 1 species
GACGAACGCUGGCGGCGUGCUUAACACAUGCAAGUCGAACGAUGAAGCGGUGCUUGCACCGUGGAUUAGUGGCGAACGGGUGAGUAAUACGUGAGUGACCUCCCUUUGACUCUGGGAUAAGCCUGGGAAACUGGGUCUAAUACCGGAUACGACCACUCUCUGCAUGGGGUGUUGGUGGAAAGCGUUAUGGAGUGGUUUUAGAUGGACUCACGGCCUAUCAGCUUGUUGGUGAGGUAAUGGCUUACCAAGGCGACGACGGGUAGCCGGCCUGAGAGGGUGACCGGCCACACUGGGACUGAGACACGGCCCAGACUCCUACGGGAGGCAGCAGUGGGGAAUAUUGCACAAUGGGCGCAAGCCUGAUGCAGCGACGCCGCGUGAGGGAUGACGGCCUUCGGGUUGUAAACCUCUGUUAGCAUCGAAGAAGCGAAAGUGACGGUAGGUGCAGAGAAAGCGCCGGCUAACUACGUG